AGUGAACGCUGGCGGUAGGCCUAACACAUGCAAGUCGAACGGCAGCACAGUAAGAGCUUGCUCUUACGGGUGGCGAGUGGCGGACGGGCGAGGAAUACAUCGGAAUCUACUUUUUCGUGGGGGAUAACGUAGGGAAACUUACGCUAAUACCGCAUACGACCUACGGGUGAAAGCAGGGGAUCUUCGGACCUUGCGCGAUUGAAUGAGCCGAUGUCGGAUUAGCUAGUUGGCGGGGUAAAGGCCCACCAAGGCGACGAUCCGUAGCUAGUCUGAGAGGAUGAUCAGCCACACUGGAACUGAGACACGGUCCAGACUCCUACGGGAGGCAGCAGUGGGGAAUAUUGGACAAUGGGCGCAAGCCUGAUCCAGCCAUACCGCGUGGGUGAAGAAGGCCUUCGGGUUGUAAAGCCCUUUUGUUGGGAAAGAAAAGCAGCAGGUUAAUACCCCGCUGUUCUGACGGUACCCAAAGAAUAAGCACCGGCUAACUUCGUG
rnacentral:rRNA from 1 species